rnacentral:rRNA from 1 species
ACGUAGGGGGCAAGCGUUGUCCGGAAUCAUUGGGCGUAAAGCGCGUGUAGGCGGCCCGAUAAGUCCGCUGUGAAAGUCCAGGGCUCAACCCUGGAAUGCCGGUGGAUACUGUCGGGCUCGAGUCCGGAAGAGGCGAGUGGAAUUCCUGGUGUAGCGGUGAAAUGCGCAGAUAUCAGGAGGAACACCGAUGGCGAAGGCAGCUCGCUGGGACGGUACUGACGCUGAGACGCGAAAGCGUGGGGAGCAAACAGGA